rnacentral:rRNA from 1 species
CUACGGGCGGCUGCAGUGAGGAAUAUUGCACAAUGGGGGGAACCCUGAUGCAGCAACGCCGCGUGGAGGAUGACGCAUUUCGGUGUGUAAACUCCUUUUAUAUGUCAAGAAAAUGACGGUAGCAUAUGAAUAAGCACCGGCUAACUCCGUGCCAGCAGCCGCGGUAAUACGGAGGGUGCAAGCGUUACUCGGAAUCACUGGGCGUAAAGGACGCGUAGGCGGGCUUGUAAGUCAGGUGUGAAAUCCUACAGCUUAACUGUAGAACUGCACUUGAAACUACGAGCCUAGAGUAUGGGAGGGGGAGAUGGAAUUAGUGGUGUAGGGGUAAAAUCCGUAGAUAUCACUAGGAAUACCUAAAGCGAAGGCGAUCUCCUGGAACAUAACUGACGCUAAGGCGUGAAAGCGUGGGGAGCAAACAGGAUUAGAUACCCGCGUAGUC